rnacentral:misc_RNA from 1 species
GAUGAAGAACGUAACGAAAUGCGAUAAGUAAUGUGAAUUGCAGAAUUCAGUGAAUCAUCGAAUCUUUGAACGCACAUUGCGCCCGCCAGUAUUCUGGCGGGCAUGCCUGUCUGAGCGUCAUUUCAACCCUCAUGCCCCUAGGGCGUGGUGUUGGGGAUCGGCCAAAGCCCGCGAGGGACGGCCGGCCCCUAAAUCUAGUGGCGGACCCGUCGUGGCCUCCUCUGCGAAGUAGUGAUAUUCCGCAUCGGAGAGCGAUGAGCCCCUGCCGUUAAACCCCCAACUUUCCAAGGUUGACCUCAGAUCAGGUAGGAAUACCCGCUGAACUUAAGCAUAUCAAUAAGCGGAGGA